GGGGGGAGCACCGGAUCUUGGGCUAUGUCUUCUGGCACCUUGUGCUCCAGGGCCUGUGCUGCUGGAAUCGUGCUCCUGGGGUCGCGCAGCCCAUC
rnacentral:pre_miRNA from 1 species